rnacentral:rRNA from 1 species
UACGGAGGGGACUAGCGUUGUUCGGAAUUACUGGGCGUAAAGAGCACGUAGGCGGCUUUGUUAGUCAGGGGUGAAAUCCCGAGGCUCAACCUCGGAACUGCCUUUGAUACUGCAAAUCUCGAGUCCGGAAGAGGUGAGUGGAAUUCCUAGUGUAGAGGUGAAAUUCGUAGAUAUUAGGAAGAACACCAGUGGCGAAGGCGGCUCACUGGCCCGUAACUGACGCUGAGGUGCGAAAGCGUGGGGAGCAAACAGG